AUUCACCAAAUGUCCAAUUACAUAUCCUCCCUGCCUGGACCUUCAAAACAAUAUAAAACUGAAUGAAGGCAAUAAAAGAAGUCACAGGAGGAUUUUUGCAGAGCUUCCAUCCAGUUCAGAAACAAAGCAAUUCAAUACAUGUCUUCAAGAUUUCUAAAGGCAAUGACUUAAUUCUAAGUUCCAUGAAAGCAGGCAUUGUGUGAAUUUCUCCUGCAUCUGGAACUGGCCUACCACACCAAUAGAACCUUGGAGAAUUGCCAAGAUUGCUGACUAGAUGUAGCCAGGAGAAAUAUCUCCCACUGAGAGACCGGGACACUGGAAAGACUAUAACACACCUCUGAGCAGAUCUUCUGAUGGAAAGCAUUAAGAGUGGAUGCAGAGAGGAUGCAGAUGCUGGGCUGAAGAGAGAGGAAGCUGGGAACCCAGUGUAGUGCAGCUGAGCCUCAGGACUUGGACCUGGCCCUCAGAGACUCCUGGGGGAAGGGUGAGUUUACAGGUGAGGAGUGGCCCGCUUUCACCAUGGACCCAUUCUGUUAGGUCCCUCAACCUCUAUGGGCAUCUGAGAUGGUAGGAAAAGCUGCUUAGAGAGGUCAUGUGGGCAAGACUCCAGCCUGUGCAGAGCCCAGAGUGGUGUCAGAAG
rnacentral:lncRNA from 1 species